rnacentral:rRNA from 1 species
UGGGGAAUAUUGGACAAUGGGCGCAAGCCUGAUCCAGCCAUGCCGCGUGAGUGAUGAAGGCCUUAGGGUUGUAAAGCUCUUUUAGCAGGGAAGAUAAUGACGGUACCUGCAGAAAAAGCCCCGGCUAACUUCGUGCCAGCAGCCGCGGUAAUACGAAGGGGGCUAGCGUUGCUCGGAAUUACUGGGCGUAAAGCGCACGUAGGCGGACUCUUAAGUCGGUGGUGAAAUCCUGGAGCUCAACUCCAGAACUGCCUUCGAUACUGGGAGUCUUGAGUUCGGGAGAGGUGAGUGGAACUGCGAGUGUAGAGGUGAAAUUCGUAGAUAUUCGCAAGAACACCAGUGGCGAGGGCGGCUCACUGGCCCGAUACUGACGCUGAGGUGCGAAAGCGUGGGGAGCAAACA